UAUAACAAAUUAUCCAUCUCUUUUAGGGCGGUUUGCUAACUUAUUUUGCAUAACAUUUCUAACCACAUCAAGUGUGCUCUUUGACGAAUCCUAAACAGAUAUAGAUGUACAUCUUGAUUAGGCCACCUAAUCAGUUUACUUUCUAAUACAUUGAAAGUUUUUUGGUCUCUGUUUAUGGUGAAAAAAUGGGUUCUUCACAAUUUAGUUGAUGGUAAAGAAUUAGUUAAGCCGACAUUCCAAUUACUUUACUAGAUUAGUGGUAUUGCACUUAUUUUUCAUAGAAUAUGAAUAUUUACUUUGUUUUUCAUAUCACAUGUUUAAGAUAUUAAGUUCAAUCUUCUUCUGUUGGCACCCAAAAGUUUGUCAAACUAUUUUACUUUUCCUUUAUGCAGCAGAAUGUCCAUCAUCACAGAAUCUUAGCUGAUAGACGGUGCGCUUUUUGGCGGAAGCUGAGACAAAGAUUUCUAUUCACCAAAAAGAUAGAGCCGCCAUCAGCAAGCACUGACGAGUAGCACAGUCUCAGCCGAUGCAUCGACGAGCUGAGGCGGGCUUCCAAUAGAGAUCAGAAACAAGGAAUGGCCUUUUGAGCUGGUAGAGGGAUCACUAGACGUGGUGUUCAUGUUUGUGUUGGCUUACAUGCAGAAAUAAGGAGGAUAGUAAGACUCUUGGAGGUCAUGUCUCUGCCAUUCAAGGAUUUCGAUAUCUGAAUGUUAUGACAAUAUAUAGAUAAGGGAGAUAGCCCUCCGCGUCCUGGUGGCUACUGUAUGCUGCAGCGAAGGGCACACUUCAAUUACUGUGCAGGCAGAUGCGGUGAUCCCGGGUGUGCUUUGAAUAGAUAUCAAGGACGUCAUUACCCGAGCCGUUCCUAUGAUUGAACAUGCGACCAAGGAAUGAAAACUCUUCUCCAGAGAUCUUCAAAAUAGUACAAUAUCAGAUACACAUGCCUGAAUCUGGAUACACUCCACUGCUGAUGGUAAUACUUUCCAGUCACUCACAAACAAUAAGCUUCGGCAUACAAGGCAGAGUCCAAUGCUAUUGGAUUGGGGUGCUGGUAUGCAAUUUCUUGUACAUUUUACUUCUAUAGGACUUCCAAUUACUGGCUACAAACUUUGUACAGGGCAGUCUGAGCUACCACUUGGUGAAGAUGGGAUUCAAUAUGUUCAGUGAUACCCUUUUUUGUGUGUAGGGAAUCACUGAUAUGAUACAACUAUUUGUUAUCUGAAUUUUCGAAUAUAUGUACACCCAUGGUGACGUUUCAAUGCUCAUUUAUAAAGCAUCCAUCUAUGAAUGAAUUUCUGAAUAUUACCACAUGCAAUGUGUAUGUAUGAUGAUAGUAGUACACUUGCGAUGAUGCAAAACACUUAUGAUGAUGUUAUUCAAGUAUUGUACUACAGUUGCAUUCAAGUCA